rnacentral:rRNA from 1 species
GGCGGCAGGCUUAACACAUGCAAGUCGAGCGGAAACGAUGGGAGCUUGCUCCCAGGCGUCGAGCGGCGGACGGGUGAGUAACACUUAGGAAUCUACCUAGUAGUGGGGGAUAGCUCGGGGAAACUCGAAUUAAUACCGCAUACGUCCUACGGGAGAAAGGGGGCAACUUGUUGCUCUCGCUAUUAGAUGAGCCUAAGUCGGAUUAGCUAGUUGGUGGGGUAAAGGCCUACCAAGGCGACGAUCUGUAGCUGGUCUGAGAGGAUGAUCAGCCACACCGGGACUGAGACACGGCCCGGACUCCUACGGGAGGCAGCAGUGGGGAAUAUUGGACAAUGGGGGCAACCCUGAUCCAGCCAUGCCGCGUGUGUGAAGAAGGCCUUUUGGUUGUAAAGCACUUUAAGCAGUGAAGAAGACCAUAUGGUUAAUACCCAUAUGCGAUGACAUUAGCUGCAGAAUAAGCACCGGCUAACUCUGUGCCAGCAGCCGCGGUAAUACAGAGGGUGCAAGCGUUAAUCGGAAUUACUGGGCGUAAAGCGAGCGUAGGUGGCUUGAUAAGUCAGAUGUGAAAUCCCCGGGCUUAACCUGGGAACUGCAUCUGAUACUGUUAGGCUAGAAUAGGUGAGAGGAAGGUAGAAUUCCAGGUGUAGCGGUGAAAUGCGUAGAGAUCUGGAGGAAUACCGAUGGCGAAGGCAGCCUUCUGGCAUCAUAUUGACACUGAGGUUCGAAAGCGUGGGUAGCAAACAGGAUUAGAUACCCUGGUAGUCCACGCCGUAAACGAUGUCUACUAGUCGUUGGGUCCCUUGAGGACUUAGUGACGCAGCUAACGCAAUAAGUAGACCG